rnacentral:rRNA from 1 species
CACAAGCGGUGGAGCAUGUGGUUUAAUUCGAUGCAACGCGAAGAACCUUACCUGGGCUUGACAUCCCGGGAAUCCCUUGGAAACAAGGGAGUGCCCUUCGGGGAACCUGGAGACAGGUGCUGCAUGGCUGUCGUCAGCUCGUGUCGUGAGAUGUAGGGGUUAAGUCCCGCAACGAGCGCAACCCUUGUCUUUAAUUGCCAUCAUUGAGUUGGGCACUUUAAAGAGACUGCCGGUGUUAAACCGGAGGAAGGUGGGGAUGACGUCAAGUCCUCAUGGCCCUUAUGGGUAGGGCUUCACACGUCAUACAAUGGUCGGUACAGAGGGUUGCCAAGCCGCGAGGCGGAGCCAAUCCCACAAAGCCGAUCGUAGUCCGGAUUGUUCUCUGCAACUCGAGAGCAUGAAGUCGGAAUCGCUAGUAAUCGCAGGUCAGCAUACUGCGGUGAAUACGUUCCCGGGUCUU